rnacentral:tRNA from 1 species
GCCUCCGUAGCUUAGUGGUGGAGCGCGAGACUGUUAAUCUUGAGGUCGGCGGUUCGAGCCCGCCCGGAGGCG